AAUUGUUUGUUCCUUCUUGUGCAUCAUCAUGGCAUCAUGCAUCAUAUCAUCCAUGUUUUACAAAUAAAGUUAUUUUAUAAAACCCAAAUAAUUUUGUUUUCCUCUCCUAUGGUUUAAUAAAACCCUCCCUCGCUCUUUUGUUCUUUAACAAACCGAAACAAUAAUAUUUGUAAUAAUUUAGACAAACUAGACUUAAAUAAAAUUAAAAUGUGGUUUUGAAACUGCUUUGCAACAUUCCAGUUUUUUUUAUAGCCUCACUUCAUCUAUUCUAUUCUGCUUCUAUCUAUCUCUUGGUACCUUUCUUGUUUGAUAUCCUUGCAAUUACUUCAUUUUAUGGCCAGCUCUGAUAUCCCUUCCUGAAGCAACGUUUUGGUGAUCCAUUCUUCUUUUUUUUUUAUCUCAUCGCUGGCAGCAAUACACUUUCAUCAUUUUUUCGUUUUCUUCCACCUACACCUACACGCAAGGAGCGUGAGCUCCCUGUCAACAUCAGCCUCUCAACCACUCCCCUCUCCCCUCCUGUUUUCCCUACCUCAGCCUCAGAUCAAACCCUAGCCCUCUCCAUCUUUCCCUCCUCCCGCCGCCACUCCUUCUCUGUUUCCAUCCCCGUCUUCCAAGCCAAACCAGAGCAAGAGGAGUACAGAAAAUUCAGUUAAAGAUUCAGUUAACAAGAAGCUCCGGUGAAGAAAAUCGACAAGCACCUCCGUUCCUGCACCGCCUUCGAUUCCGGCCUCCUCGAGCAUGUCCUCGUUAUCCUGGUGGCCGCCGCCAGAGCUGCUCCGGUGGUUCAGGCCCUCGCUCCGCCGCUUCCUGAUUCAGCACCACGAGGCGCGACGCGCAAGCCCUUUGUCCCGUCCUGGUUCGUCCUCCUUCGACAAGGCCAUCCUCGACCUGGGCGUCUCCGCACGUUCUCUUCUUCCUCCCGACGCCGUCGACUUCUCCGAGCUCGUCUCCGACCCAUGGUACGAGAUGAUGACGUUAGCAAGGUUACCCUUCCGGCUUGGCCUGGGCAGGGUUAUGGACGCCACUGGUUAUCUUCAGGACUCUUACUCCAAUUUGUAUCUUGUCCAUACUCGGACGUAUUCGAUCUUCUGUAUGAUUUGGAUCUUUGUAUUGUAUAUUUGUAUCUUGACUCGUUGGAGUCGUUGUUGUAAUAUAUGUAUCUUGUGGGGUCUAUUGUAAUCCUGUUGUAAUGUUACCGCUCGUGUCAAUUCCUCUGGCAUCACGUGUGUGAUUCGUCGCGCACGUCGUGUCGGAGGGCGUCUCUGAAUCGAUAUCAUGCGGAUUUCGGCGGCUUCGCUGGGAUCCUCAUGGUACCGGUUUCGGGGCGUCACAAGUUGGUAUCAGAGCCCAGGUUGACGGUACCCCACUAGUCCUGCCUGUAGGAUAACCUUGCCAACGGUCGUUAAGUUUAGCGUGUCAAAACUAUUUUCUGAAAAUUCGUUGGAUUGAUCUGAUUAGCUCUGAUUUUUCUUCUUAUCCCUAUUCUUUCUCUUCUUACCUAUGCGAGUUUUGAAUCCUCUCUCUUAUCUGGGUUUUCUGAGUCAUAGGUUUCUACGCGGGUUGGACGAUCUUUGCCCCUCACCUAUUAGGUCCGAUCUUCGGAGGAUCCCGACAGAAGUGCAUCAUCAACAGCGGAACAACGACUUCUUGUUAGUGGUGACGCUGAUCUACGUGGAGCAAGAAUUCUUGUUAGUGGUGUCGAGAAGAUCAACACUUCGCCAGAAGAAGGUUCCACCUCGAGGUCGGGUGAUUGUCAACAUGGUACAAGAAGACUCGAUAGUUUAACCAACUCCCCCUUGGCUUGACGUGGAACCUCGGGGCGAGGUUCCUUGUUAGUGGUGUCGAUUGUAACGGCCCCGGGUAGUACCCCUAAUAGAAUUGUUUGUUCCUUCUUGUGCAUCAUCAUGGCAUCAUGCAUCAUAUCAUCCAUGUUUUACAAAUAAAGUUAUUUUAUAAAACCCAAAUAAUUUUGUUUUCCUCUCCUAUGGUUUAAUAAAACCCUCCCUCGCUCUUUUGUUCUUUAACAAACCGAAACAAUAAUAUUUGUAAUAAUUUAGACAAACUAGACUUAAAUAAAAUUAAAAUGUGGUUUUGAAACUGCUUUGCAACAUUCCAGUUUUUUUUAUAGCCUCACUUCAUCUAUUCUAUUCUGCUUCUAUCUAUCUCUUGGUACCUUUCUUGUUUGAUAUCCUUGCAAUUACUUCAUUUUAUGGCCAGCUCUGAUAUCCCUUCCUGAAGCAACGUUUUGGUGAUCCAUUCUUCUUUUUUUUUUAUCUCAUCGCUGGCAGCAAUACACUUUCAUCAUUUUUUCGUUUUCUUCCACCUACACCUACACGCAAGGAGCGUGAGCUCCCUGUCAACAUCAGCCUCUCAACCACUCCCCUCUCCCCUCCUGUUUUCCCUACCUCAGCCUCAGAUCAAACCCUAGCCCUCUCCAUCUUUCCCUCCUCCCGCCGCCACUCCUUCUCUGUUUCCAUCCCCGUCUUCCAAGCCAAACCAGAGCAAGAGGAGUACAGAAAAUUCAGUUAAAGAUUCAGUUAACAAGAAGCUCCGGUGAAGAAAAUCGACAAGCACCUCCGUUCCUGCACCGCCUUCGAUUCCGGCCUCCUCGAGCAUGUCCUCGUUAUCCUGGUGGCCGCCGCCAGAGCUGCUCCGGUGGUUCAGGCCCUCGCUCCGCCGCUUCCUGAUUCAGCACCACGAGGCGCGACGCGCAAGCCCUUUGUCCCGUCCUGGUUCGUCCUCCUUCGACAAGGCCAUCCUCGACCUGGGCGUCUCCGCACGUUCUCUUCUUCCUCCCGACGCCGUCGACUUCUCCGAGCUCGUCUCCGACCCAUGCAUUCGCUUCUUCCCGGAUAGGAUCACGGAGUGGUGAUGUGAGAUACGAUGAGUUCUCCGACAAGUUCUCCUGCAGCUUUUCACAGGCGAG